ACUUCUGAAAUAAAAAAUAAACACGUCAACAUUUAUAGAAAAAUUAUUAAAAUUUGCCCUUGUACAAGACUUUCUUUUUUCCCCAAAAAUGUAUCGCAAAUUACCCUUCGUCUAAUGCGCCGUAGGCGUAGGUGACUAGCUAGCAAGUCUGGGACGAGCAGUAGUCUACUAAGCACAAACAUUACGUUCCUAAUAUUACU